rnacentral:lncRNA from 1 species
GCAGGCGGAGGUCACCUCAAUAUGGCUGACAUGUUCUGUGUUUUCCCACAGCAUGUCACAUGUAGCCAGUGCGGCGACUUUGACAAAGUACUGCAGGGUGACCUGGUAGUCUCGGGUCAGAGUGAGAGAAAUUGGUGUUGUACUAAGAUGUAUGUUAAUACAUAUAUUAUUUAUAUGGGCAUUAGCGAAUGCUAUUGUUGCCUUAGCACAAACCCAGGCCCAGAGAUUGGCCUUGGGGUUUUUGCAAGCUUACUUUAUCAUGUUUCUCCUCACCCCCUCCUCGCUCAUGAAUAAUUAAAAACUUAAAUUACUUGCCAUGUACAAAAUUCAUAUGCUGGGGAAAAUAGCUACAUGAAAAUUAAUUUUCUGUUCUGUGAGACUGACGGGAAAUCAAUUAAUCUUGAUGUAUUAUUUUAUGCAGAACAGGGUGCAAGAACCUGCGGAGAGAAUGGCUACAGCUGUUCUUGUUGGUCAGGCCAUAUAUUAUCGUUGGCGGGUUUGACAGCUUCUGAAGGAAAUGGCUGAGGGGUAUCAGGCAGGUGAAUCAACUGUAAAAAUUUAUUGGAGGAUACAAACUGUUUCCAGGGAACUGAUAUAAAACUCACACUUGAGAACUGAAGUAUUGAAUGUUUUUGUGACUGAAGCAGCUUGUUGUCAAUAUUUAUAGCUUUUCUCUUUGUUACAUGUCCUAUUUGUUUGAUUAACUAGUCAGAUGUUAGUGUCUGUCGGUAAUUUAUCUGUUGUGCCUUCUGUAGCAUUUUUGAUACAUAAAGAUUUACCACUAGAUAAAUAAGGCAGCACACACAAUGCAAUAUGCGAAAUAAAAUGACAGAGCUGUUUACAGCAUGUUGCAAGUUUUAUAACUCAUGAGGUAGAUCGGUAACUUUUGUUUACUGGUGUCACUGUUUGUUGAAACAUGUCUCAAUGUAUUAAAUACCAUGGGGGUAAAUAAAGCUCUUUUAAAUAAGCAGAGAUUGUAAUCAACACAUACCUCAUGGUAAAUCAUUUAAGAGGCUCUAUAAAAACGUUUAUGUACAGCCAUACAUAAUGCAUACAUUUCUGAAAUAAAAUAAAAUAAAUGCGUGCUUUUAGAAUAGGCUGUAGUUACAUUCCUCUCCCAUGCCAUCGACAUCAAUUUCCCCUGUAGAUGAUGGAGGUGCGAUGUUCAGACAAAUGCUGACGCAGACCGACGGGAGCUGGAGGCUGAGGGGCAGCGGCCUGGCAGAAGCCUCUGGAAGGACUCAUGUCCUCCAUCCCUGCCUACAGCAAGCCUUUGCCAAGGGCCCUCUGCUCUUGGGGUACAGGUGAAUCAUUCUGAACAGUGUGAGAAGUUCUAUACACAAAGUUCGAAGCCCAGCCUUCACAUUGAGAUUAUCUGAGAAACUUGCAAAAAGGAUACCAAUGGUCAGGGAGUACCUCAGACCAACUCGAUCAGAUUUCUGGUGGUUGGCAUGGGGAUUGGGAUUGUAUGGAAAUGUUCUCCAGGUGACUUUAAUAGCAGCUGGCCAAGAAGUGGAGCUGCUGUUUAUUCUCCCGGUGGCUCUGUGUACACGCUCUGCCCGUGGAGCUGCCUGGGAUGAGCCGUGAGUCCUCUGAGAACUGCUUCCUGUUUCGUCUGGUAACUCCUAAGCCUGCCUUUCUUUCCUACAGUCUGCAUUUGUGGAAAUCUGCAGUAUUUGAAGUUUGGAGGAGAUCAAUUUUUCAUCCUUUCCUUCGUGGGAUAAAGAAUAUUUCAACCACCUCUGGAGACCAAAGAGUUCUGAGAAGUUUUGAAAUAGCUUGGGAAAUACACCACGUGCUUCACACUUCAUUUUUCUCCUCUCUCUUUCAUUGUUUGACUUAAUUAAAAUAUUGUAAUGCAAGAAGGAGAGAUGAGGCAAACGUUUAGAGAAGGAAAAGGAAAUGGGUUCAUGUUUAAACUGACUCUGAGCAAGCAUGGCGAUGGUAGUUUGAAAGAAUUCUGAGCAUGUAGGAAGGUAAACUCAAAAUGUUCUUCCUGCCUGAGAAGUGAUUAAAAUACCUGUGAGCACCAA